ensembl:snRNA U1 U1 spliceosomal RNA
AAACUUACUUGACAGGGGAGAUAUCAUGGUCAAAUAGCUGGUUUUUCCAGGGUUAGACUUACCCAUUUCACUCUUGAUGUAAGAAUCCCUGUGAUUUUCCCCAAAUGGGAAGCUAGACUACAUAAUGUGUGGUAAUGAGAGACUAUGUUUAUGCUGUUCCCUUU